GGGGGUGACUGGUUUCGACGGGGAGAUGUCCUGGCGAGAGCUGCGAGUCGAGUUGCCGCUACCUCGUAAAAACAGCGGAAACUAAAACAAUAACUGCCAACAACAACCUGGCACUGGCUGCCUAGUGCAGCCCGUCCGCGCGCCCUCGCCGACGGAGGCGCUGUCGGGCGUCACCCACGUCGGAUACCCCUUCAGGUUCGACUCCUGGCCUGGAACGGGGAAAAUCAGGGGGUAUGGAACUGUCGGAUCCCGCUCGGGGGAGCCGGCGCGCCCGAGACCAAAACCUGAGCUAGGCUCGUAGACGCUCUUGUGGGGGCCUUCUCGGACGCGGGUUCGAUUCCCGCCACCUCCACCA
rnacentral:tmRNA from 1 species